UACGGGGGGGGUAAGCGUUGUUCGGAAUUACUGGGCGUAAAGGGCUCGUAGGCGGCCAACUAAGUCAUACGUGAAAUCCCUCAGCUUAACUGGGGAACUGCGUGUGAUACUGGAUGGCUUGGAUUUGGGAGAGGGAUGCGGAAUUCCAGGUGUAGCGGUGAAAUGCGUAGAUAUCUGGAGGAACACCGGUGGCGAAGGCGGCGUUCUGGACUGUCUCUGACACUGAAGAACGAAAGCCAGGGGAGCAAACGGG
rnacentral:rRNA from 1 species